UACGUAGGGGGCAAGCGUUGUCCGGAUUUAUUGGGCGUAAAGAGCGUGUAGGCGGCUUUGCAAGUCCGUUGUGAAAACUCGAGGCUCAACCUCGAGACGCCGGUGGAAACUGCAAAGCUAGAGUCCGGAAGAGGAGAGUGGAAUUCCUGGUGUAGCGGUGAAAUGCGCAGAUAUCAGGAGGAACACCGGUGGCGAAGGCGGGUCUCUGGGCCGAUAUUGACGCUGAGGAGCGAAAGCGUGGGGAGCGAACAGG
rnacentral:rRNA from 1 species